rnacentral:rRNA from 1 species
UACGGAGGGGGCUAGCGUUGUUCGGAAUUACUGGGCGUAAAGCGCACGUAGGCGGACUUUUAAGUCAGGUGUGAAAUCCCGGGGCUCAACCUCGGAACUGCCUUUGAUACUGGAAGUCUUGAGUAUGGAAGAGGUAAGUGGAAUUGCGAGUGUAGAGGUGAAAUUCGCAGAUAUUCGCAGGAACACCAGUGGCGAAGGCGGCUUACUGGUCCAUUACUGACGCUGAGGUGCGAAAGCGUGGGGAGCAAACAGG